rnacentral:rRNA from 1 species
UGAGGAAUAUUGGUCAAUGGGCGAGAGCCUGAACCAGCCAAGUAGCGUGCAGGAUGACGGCCCUAUGGGUUGUAAACUGCUUUUAUAUGGGAAUAAAGUGAGGGACGUGUCCCUUAUUGCAUGUACCAUAUGAAUAAUGACCGGCUAAUUCCGUGCCAGCAGCCGCGGUAAUACGGAAGGUCCAGGCGUUAUCCGGAUUUAUUGGGUUUAAAGGGAGCGUAGGCUGUUUGUUAAGCGUGUUGUGAAAUGUAAGAGCUCAACUUUUAGAUUGCAGCGAGAACUGGCAGACUUGAGUGCGCACAACGUAGGCGGAAUUCAUGGUGUAGCGGUGAAAUGCUUAGAUAUCAUGACGAACUCCGAUUGCGAAGGCAGCUUACGGGAGCGCAACUGACGCUAAAGCUCGAAGGUGCGGGUAUCGAACAGG